UUCUUUUCUAUUUACUUAUUUAUAGAAAUAUUAAACUGUUAUUGAUGGUAUAUUCUUCUUUCGUGUUAGUGGGAAGAUCUGGCUAUGGACUCGUUCAUAAACUGUAUGCAAGCUAUUUGAUAGCUUACAAGGGGUCAAACAACGACUUUUUAAAAACAAAAUACCCAACAUAACCUGCAACCGUAGAUGAACGAACAGACUUGUCUAUAAAUUUUAUACAGAAGGCAAUAUCCAACGUUGAAAAACACCGGAAGCUACAGCGAGGAGCUUACACCCGUUAGUCUCUUUCGGACACACUACCAUCGUUAAUACAUCAAUUAUAUUCUAUAAUAAAUCUUACUCAAAUUUAUUAUAGUAUUGAAUGGACUAUUCAAAGUUACUACUUGUGUUACUCCAUUUUUAUAUAAAUUAGAUUAUAUCAUGUUAAUGAUAGGACAAUUUUAUGUGACUGAAACAAAUUUUCUUCAGUGAAAAUUCUUUCGACACCAGAGGAAAUGAUCAUCGUCCUAUGCCGUUGCGGAAAAUUUCAAUGGCGCAAGAAGGCUUUCAGAUUGCGCCCUCCCCUCCAUCAAAAUAAAGGACUUAUUCUGGUGUGUCGACAUCUCAUCCUUCGACUCGUGCUGAUGAGUCAUCUAUGUCAUCUGCUUAACCUCAGGGGUCUUGAAAGUCGAGCACUUUCUAUAAAGUGAACCAGAGCAGGAAAGUAGAGUAGAUGAUUUUUCAAGAACAUGAAUUAUUUCUUUUUGUAAGGUAUCUGUACUGAAAAUGUAAAGCAUUCUCGGUGUUGGUAUAAUGAGGCCGUUAAAAGUAAGGAUACGAAAAUUGGGAAUUUAGGAGUGAUUAAUGUAAUCGCUUCGGUUUUCGAAAGGAGUGUGAGAAAAAUAAGUGGUGACAGAAGGCUUGGAAAGGGCCUUCCCCCCCCCCCCCAUUUCCAAUAAGAACUUAUUUUGACGUGUCCACAUCUCAUCCUUCGACUUAACGAGUCAUCUCAUCUACUCAACCUUGAUGGUCUCCAAACUCGAGCACUCCAUGUAAUGGGAACUACAGCAGGAAACUAGAGAAGAUCAAUCUGAAGACAACUUUGCUGGUCUUUGGACUUAACUUCCCGUAACCUGAAUCGCAGCAGAA